rnacentral:rRNA from 1 species
AACGAACGCUGGCGGCAUGCCUAACACAUGCAAGUCGAACGAGACCUUCGGGUCUAGUGGCGCACGGGUGCGUAACGCGUGGGAACCUGCCCUUAGGUUCGGAAUAACUCCCCGAAAGGGGUGCUAAUACCGGAUAAUGUCUUCGGACCAAAGAUUUAUCGCCUUUGGAUGGGCCCGCGUUGGAUUAGCUAGUUGGUAGGGUAAAAGCCUACCAAGGCGACGAUCCAUAGCUGGUCUGAGAGGAUGAUCAGCCACACUGGGACUGAGACACGGCCCAGACUCCUACGGGAAGCAGCAGUGGGGAAUAUUGGACAAUGGGCGAAAGCCUGAUCCAGCAAUGCCGCGUGAGUAAUGAAGGCCUUAGGGUUGUAAAGCUCUUUUACCCGGGAUGAUAAUGACAGUACCGGGAGAAUAAGCUCCGGCUAACUCCGUG